CCUACGGGUGGCAGCAGUGGGGAAUAUUGGGCAAUGGGCGCAAGCCUGACCCAGCAACGCCGCGUGAAUGAAGAAGGCUUUCGGGUUGUAAACUGCUUUUAUGAGGGACGAAGGAAGUGACGGUACCUAAUGCAUCAGCCACGGCUAACUACGUGCGAGCAGCCGCGGUAAUACGUAGGUGGCGCGCGUUAACCGGAAUUACUGGGUGCAAAGGGCGUGUAGGCGGGCUUGCAAGUCAGAUGUGAAAACUAUGGGCUCAACCUAUGGACUGCAUGUGAAACUGGAGGGCUUGAGUGACGGAGAGGCAGGUGGAAUGCCAGGUGUAGCGGUGAAAUGCGUAGAGAUACGGAGGAACACCAGUGGCGAAGGCGGCCCGCUGGACGUAGACUGACGCUGAGGCGCGAAAGCGUGGGGAGCAAACAGGAUUAGAUACCCUUGUAGUC
rnacentral:rRNA from 1 species